UUGUGUGAGUAAAAAAAGGAGGAGGUGGCAAGGGUACCUGGGAACUUGUGGAGAGGAGGUGGGGAGGUAGCACCCACAUAACUGUUGAAGAGGUGAAGAAAAAGAUUUCUGGCUUGUUGAGAGAAUAUGUGGAAAGUGGAGAUACUCUUGAGGCCUGUAGGUGCAUUAGGGAGUUGGGAGUUUCGUUCUAUCAUCAUGAGGUUGUGAAAAGAGCUUUAAUUCUUGGCAUGGAGACUCGGACAGCUGAACCGCUUAUAACGAAGCUGUUAAAGGAGGCGGCUGAGGAAGGUAUUAUUAGUUCCAGUCAGAUGACAAAGGGGUUUUCAUGGUUGGCAUUGAGCCUUGAUGACCUUGUUCGUGACAUUCCAUCAGCAAAAAGCUUCUUCCAGUCUUGAGAUUUAUUUCAUACAAGGUGGAUGGAUAGUUAUUUAGAGUUAUCAUUCUGAGGCUUCCUUUUUUAAGUAGUUUUCUGAUCAGAUUAACAUGAUCCUUAGUUUCGCUUUGCUUUUGUACCUCCUGUGUAUGUUUCAGGAUGAGAAAUCCUGAAGUGUAUUACUGUUGUGGUUGUGAUACGCUGUUAGCAAUGGCUAGGUACUCGGGAAUUUACAUUUUGUUUUAGCAAGACCCUGCAGAGUGCAGCUAUCUAAAGCUACUUCUU